CAGUAGCCGCGGUAAUACGUAGGUCCCGAGCGUUGUCCGAAUUUAUUGGGCGUAAAGCGAGCGCAGGCGGUUAGAUAAGUCUGAAGUUAAAGGCUGUGGCUUAACCAUAGUACGCUUUGGAAACCGUUUAACUUGAGUGCAAGAGGGGAGAGUGGAAUUCCAUGCGUAGCGGUGAAAUGCGUAGAUAUAUGGAGGUACACCGGUGGCGAAAGCGGCUCUCUGGCUUGUAACUGACGCUGAGGCUUGAAAGCGUGGGGAGCAAACAGGAUUAGAUACCCCCGUAGUCCCUGUCUCUUAUACA
rnacentral:rRNA from 1 species